rnacentral:rRNA from 1 species
UACGUAGGGUGCAAGCGUUGUCCGGAAUUAUUGGGCGUAAAGAGCUUGUAGGCGGUUUGUCGCGUCUGCUGUGAAAUUUCGGGGCUCAACCCCGAACUUGCAGUGGGUACGGGCAGACUAGAGUGUGGUAGGGAGACUGGAAUUCCUGGUGUAGCGGUGAAAUGCGCAGAUAUCAGGAGGAACACCGAUGGCGAAGGCAGGUCUCUGGGCCAUAACUGACGCUGAGAAGCGAAAGCAUGGGGAGCGAACAGG